AUUGAACGCUGGCGGCAGGCCUAACACAUGCAAGUCGAGCGGAUGAAGGGAGCUUGCUCCUGGAUUCCGCGGCGGACGGGUGAGUAAUGCCUAGGAAUCUGCCUGGUAGUGGGGGAUAACGUCCGGAAACGGGCGCUAAUACCGCAUACGUCCUGAUGGAGAAAGUGGGGGAUCUUCGGACCUCACGCUAUCUGAUGAGCCUAGGUCGGAUUAGCUAGUUGGUGGGGUAAAGGCCUACCAAGGCGACGAUCCGUAACUGGUCUGAGAGGAUGAUCAGUCACACUGGAACUGAGACACGGUCCAGACUCCUACGGGAGGCAGCAGUGGGGAAUAUUGGACAAUGGGCGAAAGCCUGAUCCAGCCAUGCCGCAUGUGUGAAGAAGGUCUUCGGAUUGUAAAGCACUUUAAGUUGGGAGGAACGGCAGUAAGUUAAUACCUUGCUGUUUUGACGGUACCAACAGAAUAAGCACCGGCUAACUUCGUG
rnacentral:rRNA from 1 species